rnacentral:rRNA from 1 species
AUGGCGCCCACUGCCUCAGGAUCACUACUGGCCCUGUCAGUAAUCGUCCUUGUGACCAUUGCGUCGACCCUUCUGCUAGCGCCAGUGGCGGCGAAUGACAUUGACGCGCUCACGGCCCUGAGGAGCGGCUUGAAGGACCCCAACGGUGCGUUGACGACCUGGGACCCGCAGUUGGUCGACCCUUGUACCUGGUUUCACAUCACUUGCGACGACCACAAACGCGUCACCCGCAUAGACCUUGGCCGCCAGAACCUGUCCGGACCGCUAGCGCCGGAGCUUGGCCAACUGGACCGGCUAGAAUAUUUGGAAAUUUAUGGCAACCAGUUGACCGGCCCAAUCCCAAAGGAACUGGUUGGGUUGUCCAACCUGAAAAAUGCGGAUUUCUCAAACAACAACUUCUGCGGCCCGAUCCCAACCUCCGGACCGUUUCGGCACAUACCUCGGAGUAGCUUUGCCAACAACCCGCGCCUGGGCAGGAAGUGCUAG